rnacentral:rRNA from 1 species
GACGAACGCUGGCGGCGUGCCUAAUACAUGCAAGUCGAGCGAAGCGGCGGAUGGGUGAGUAACGCGUGGGUAACCUGCCCUUAAGUCUGGGAUACCAUUUGGAAACAGAUGCUAAUACCGGAUACUAAAGGAUGGACCUGCGAUGCAUUAGCUAGUUGGUAAGGUAACGGCUUACCAAGGCGAUGAUGAAUAGCCGAUGUGAGAGAAGGAGCGGCAACAUUUGGACUGAGACAAGGCCAAAACUCCUACGGGAGGCAGCAGUAGGGAAUCUUCCACAAUGGACGAAAGUCUGAUGGAGAAACGCCGCGUGAGGGAAGAAGGUUUUCGGAUAGUAAAGCUCUGUUGUUGGAGAAGCGGUAAUCAACCAGAAAGUCACGGCUAACUACGUGCCAGCAGCCGCGGUAAUUC